UGUCCACAUCCGGAUUUACCUAAACCCCACCCAGGCUGCGUUUGCGUAGCCGUGAAAAACCGGUAUUUUCUACCCAUGAAUCACACUG
ensembl:misc_RNA